rnacentral:SRP_RNA from 1 species
GCCGGGUGCAGUGGCCAGUGCCUGUAAUCCCAGCUACUGGAGGCUGAGGCAGGAGAAUUGCUUGAACCUGGGAGGCGGAGUCUGCAGUGAGCUGAGAUCAUGCCACUGCACUCUGGCCUGGGUGACAGAGCAAGACUCUGUCUCAA